rnacentral:rRNA from 1 species
AUGCAGGACUUGAUUAGUGCGAGCAGCGAGACCACGUCGACCACGCUGGUGUGGGCAAUGGCGGAGCUGCUGCGUAAGCCGGCGGCCAUGCGGAGGGCGCAAGACGAGGUCCGGCGACAGCUCGACGGACACCUGCACUACCUGCGGCUGGUCAUCAAGGAGACGCUCAGGCUGCACCCGCCGGUGAUGCUGAAACGGGAGUGCGGCGGCCCGCGGCAGCAGGUGCUCGGCUUCGACGUGCCACAGGGCGCCAUGGUGCUGGUCAACACCUGGGCGAUGGGCAGGGACCCGGCCCACUGGGACUCCGCCGAGGAGUUCGUCCCGGAGAGGUUCGAGAGCUGCGGCACGCCGGACUUCAAGGGGGUGGACUUCGAGUUCCUGCCGUUCGGCGCCGGCCGGAGGAUAUGCCCCGGCGUCUCCUUCGGCCUCGUGCACCUCGAGCUCGCCCUCGCGGCGCUGCUCUUCCAUUUCGACUGGAAGCUGCCGGACGGGAUGGUCCCCGAGGAGCUGGACAUGACUGAGGAGGCCGGGCUCAUCACGCGCCGGCGGGCUGAGCUGGUGGUGUUCGCUGUCCCUCAUGUCCCUGUGCCCACAGAUAACUAG